AUUCAGCUGACGAGUUCAGAAUAGGACGAAACAGACGUCCUGGAC
rnacentral:hammerhead_ribozyme from 1 species